UCUGGGCUGGAAGACAACAAGCCGAGUCACAAUGUGGAUUAAAGGAACUGCUUCACACUGGGGCAAACCGGAUCAGAACCGCUCAGGAACACAGUAACCUGCGCAGUUCAGUGGACACAUUGUGGCGGCAUCUGAUAAAGUCUGUCAUACAACCGAUUAAUGCCUAAAGAAAGAGUUGCAGUGAUUUGUAUUUGUCUUUAACUUAAUUCCAAUAAAAACCAGUUUCCCCUG